rnacentral:rRNA from 1 species
UUAAGCGACUAAGCGUACACGGUGGAUGCCCUGGCAGUCAGAGGCGAUGAAGGACGUGCUAAUCUGCGAAAAGCGUCGGUAAGGUGAUAUGAACCGUUACAGCCGGCGAUGUCCGAAUGGGGAAACCCAGUGCAAUUCGUUGCACUAUCGUUAACUGAAUACAUAGGUUAACGAGGCGAACCGGGGGAACUGAAACAUCUAAGUACCCCGAGGAAAAGAAAUCAACCGAGAUUCCCCCAGUAGCGGCGAGCGAACGGGGAGCAGCCCAGAGUCUGAAUCAGCUUGUGUGUUAGUGGAACGGUCUGGAAAGUCCGACGGUACAGGGUGAUAGUCCCGUACACCAAAAUGCACAGGCUGUGAACUCGAAGAGUAGGGCGGGACACGUGGUAUCCUGUCUGAAUAUGGGGGGACCAUCCUCCAAGGCUAAAUACUCCUGACUGACCGAUAGUGAACCAGUACCGUGAGGGAAAGGCGAAAAGAACCCCGGCGAGGGGAGUGAAAAAGAACCUGAAACCGUGUACGUACAAGCAGUGGGAGCACCUUCGGGUGUGACUGCGUACCUUUUGUAUAAUGGGUCAGCGACUUAUAUUCUGUAGCAAGGUUAACCGUAUAGGGGAGCCGCAGGGAAACCGAGUCUUAACUGGGCGUUAAGUUGCAGGGUAUAGACCCGAAACCCGGUGAUCUAGCCAUGGGCAGGUUGAAGGUUGGGUAACACUAACUGGAGGACCGAACCGACUAAUGUUGAAAAAUUAGCGGAUGACUUGUGGCUGGGGGUGAAAGGCCAAUCAAACCGGGAGAUAGCUGGUUCUCCCCGAAAGCUAUUUAGGUAGCGCCUCGUGAAUUCAUCUUCGGGGGUAGAGCACUGUUUCGGCUAGGGGGUCAUCCCGACUUACCAACCCGAUGCAAACUACGAAUACCGAAGAAUGUUAUCACGGGAGACACACGGCGGGUGCUAACGUCCGUCGUGAAGAGGGAAACAACCCAGACCGCCAGCUAAGGUCCCAAAGUCAUGGUUAAGUGGGAAACGAUGUGGGAAGGCACAGACAGCCAGGAUGUUGGCUUAGAAGCAGCCAUCAUUUAAAGAAAGCGUAAUAGCUCACUGGUCGAGUCGGCCUGCGCGGAAGAUGUAACGGGGCUAAACCAUGCACCGAAGCUGCGGCAGCGACACUAUGUGUUGUUGGGUAGGGGAGCGUUCUGUAAGCCUGCGAAGGUGUGCUGUGAGGCAUGCUGGAGGUAUCAGAAGUGCGAAUGCUGACAUAAGUAACGAUAAAGCGGGUGAAAAGCCCGCUCGCCGGAAGACCAAGGGUUCCUGUCCAACGUUAAUCGGGGCAGGGUGAGUCGACCCCUAAGGCGAGGCCGAAAGGCGUAGUCGAUGGGAAACAGGUUAAUAUUCCUGUACUUGGUGUUACUGCGAAGGGGGGACGGAGAAGGCUAUGUUAGCCGGGCGACGGUUGUCCCGGUUUAAGCAUGUAGGCUGGUUAUCCAGGCAAAUCCGGAUAAUCAAGGCUGAGGUGUGAUGACGAGGCACUACGGUGCUGAAGUAACAAAUGCCCUGCUUCCAGGAAAAGCCUCUAAGCAUCAGGUAACAUCAAAUCGUACCCCAAACCGACACAGGUGGUCAGGUAGAGAAUACCAAGGCGCUUGAGAGAACUCGGGUGAAGGAACUAGGCAAAAUGGUGCCGUAACUUCGGGAGAAGGCACGCUGGUGUGUAGGUGAAGCCCCUGCGGGUGGAGCUGAGACCAGUCGAAGAUACCAGCUGGCUGCAACUGUUUAUUAAAAACACAGCACUGUGCAAACACGAAAGUGGACGUAUACGGUGUGACGCCUGCCCGGUGCCGGAAGGUUAAUUGAUGGGGUUAUCCGUAAGGAGAAGCUCUUGAUCGAAGCCCCGGUAAACGGCGGCCGUAACUAUAACGGUCCUAAGGUAGCGAAAUUCCUUGUCGGGUAAGUUCCGACCUGCACGAAUGGCGUAAUGAUGGCCAGGCUGUCUCCACCCGAGACUCAGUGAAAUUGAACUCGCUGUGAAGAUGCAGUGUACCCGCGGCAAGACGGAAAGACCCCGUGAACCUUUACUAUAGCUUGACACUGAACAUUGAGCCUUGAUGUGUAGGAUAGGUGGGAGGCUUUGAAGCGUGGACGCCAGUCUGCGUGGAGCCAACCUUGAAAUACCACCCUUUAAUGUUUGAUGUUCUAACGUUGGCCCCUUACCGGGGUUGCGGACAGUGUCUGGUGGGUAGUUUGACUGGGGCGGUCUCCUCCCAAAGCGUAACGGAGGAGCACGAAGGUUAGCUAAUCCUGGUCGGACAUCAGGAGGUUAGUGCAAUGGCAUAAGCUAGCUUGACUGCGAGCGUGACGGCGCGAGCAGGUGCGAAAGCAGGUCAUAGUGAUCCGGUGGUUCUGAAUGGAAGGGCCAUCGCUCAACGGAUAAAAGGUACUCCGGGGAUAACAGGCUGAUACCGCCCAAGAGUUCAUAUCGACGGCGGUGUUUGGCACCUCGAUGUCGGCUCAUCACAUCCUGGGGCUGAAGUAGGUCCCAAGGGUAUGGCUGUUCGCCAUUUAAAGUGGUACGCGAGCUGGGUUUAGAACGUCGUGAGACAGUUCGGUCCCUAUCUGCCGUGGGCGCUGGAGAAUUGAGGGGGGCUGCUCCUAGUACGAGAGGACCGGAGUGGACGCAUCACUGGUGUUCGGGUUGUCAUGCCAAUGGCACUGCCCGGUAGCUAAAUGCGGAAGAGAUAAGUGCUGAAAGCAUCUAAGCACGAAACUUGCCCCGAGAUGAGUUCUCCCUGAGACUUUAAGUCUCCUGAAGGAACGUUGAAGACGACGACGUUGAUAGGCCGGGUGUGUAAGCGCAGCGAUGCGUUGAGCUAACCGGUACUAAUGAACCGUGAGGCUUAACCUU